UACGGAAGGCAGCAGUGGGGGAAUAUUGCACAAUGGGCGAAAGCCUGAUGCAGCUAUGCCGCGUGUAUGAAGAAGGCCCUUAGGGGUUGUAAAGUACUUUUCAUCGGGGAGGAAAAAACAAAACUAAUAAUUUUAUUUUCUUUGACGUUACCCGAAAAAGAAGCACCGGCUAACUCCGUGCCAGCAGCCGCGGUAAUACGGAGGGUGCUAGCGUUAAUCAGAAUUACUGGGCGUAAAGAGCACGUAGGUGGUUUUUUUAAGUUCAGAUGUGAAAUCCCCUGGGCUUAACCUAGGAACUGCAUUUUGAAACUGAAAUACUAGAGUAUCGUAGAGGGAGGUAGAAUUCUAGGUGUAGCGGUGAAAUACGUAGAUAUCUGGAGGAAUACCUGUGGCGAAAGCGGCCUCCUAAACGAAUACUGACACUGAGGUGCGAAAGCUGGGGAGCAAACAGGGAUUAGAU
rnacentral:rRNA from 1 species